UAGCCUAGUUGUUAAGGCUAUGGAUCUCCAAUCCAGAGACGGCGGGUUCGAUUCCCGU
rfam:Aedes albopictus isolate Foshan contig89555, whole genome shotgun sequence.